GCGCUGAUAGCUCAGUUGGAUAGAGUGUUUGGCUACGAACCAAAAGGUCGGGGGUUCGAAUCCCUUUCAGCGCACCA
rnacentral:tRNA from 1 species